rnacentral:lncRNA from 1 species
AUGUUUUAAAAAAGUAACACAUUAAUUGUGAGUAGAUGGGGUGAAGGUUUGCAUUUACAUGAGGGACAUGAACUAACGACGAUGAAAGUGGGGUAAAUAAUUGAACGGCGACACAAGUAGAAUGUGUAGCAGUGACGACAUGACUAGAAUGUGUAGCAAAAGGAGGCGUAAAUCCAAACAGUGACACAAUCAGAGGCACGAACAACGAUGACACGAGCAACGACAUUGGAUUGAGCAACAAGGAUAAUGUAAACAUCGAGGAGGGUGGAUAACACUACAAACAAGAGAGAAGUUUAAAACGAGAGAAAAAAACAACACAUGUCGUUCGGGAAAAGAAAAUGGAAUAUGAAAAGUUGCACAUGCCUUUUAACAAUGAUUGAAGUAGGGAAUCAUCAUUGUUUCUCUAUUGUGCCACUUUUAAUGGCA